GGUUAAGCGACUAAGCGUACACGGUGGAUGCCCUGGCAGUCAGAGGCGAUGAAGGGCGUGCUAAUCUGCGAUAAGCGCCGGUAAGGUGAUAUGAACCGUUAUAACCGGCGAUACCCGAAUGGGGAAACCCAGUGUGACUCGUCACACUAUCAUUAACUGAAUCCAUAGGUUAAUGAGGCGAACCGGGGGAACUGAAACAUCUAAGUACCCCGAGGAAAAGAAAUCAACCGAGAUUCCCCCAGUAGCGGCGAGCGAACGGGGAGGAGCCCAGAGCCUGAAUCAGCAUGUGUGUUAGUGGAAGCGUCUGGAAAGGCGCGCGAUACAGGGUGACAGCCCCGUACACAAAAGCGCAUGUGCUGUGAGCUCGAUGAGUAGGGCGGGACACGUGGUAUCCUGUCUGAAUAUGGGGGGACCAUCCUCCAAGGCUAAAUACUCCUGACUGACCGAUAGUGAACCAGUACCGUGAGGGAAAGGCGAAAAGAACCCCGGCGAGGGGAGUGAAAAAGAACCUGAAACCGUGUACGUACAAGCAGUGGGAGCCCCACCACCAAAGCAUUAUCUGGUGUUGAAGGCCCUGCAAAGCAGCAUCGCGGUGGCGGAGCGUCGUUUGCGACGCCCAACACACAAAACAAGCGGUGAAUGCUUUGGGGUGGGGUGACUGCGUACCUUUUGUAUAAUGGGUCAGCGACUUAUAUUCUGUAGCAAGGUUAACCGAAUAGGGGAGCCGGAGGGAAACCGAGUCUUAAUUGGGCGUUAAGUUGCAGGGUAUAGACCCGAAACCCGGUGAUCUAGCCAUGGGCAGGUUGAAGGUUGGGUAACACUAACUGGAGGACCGAACCGACUAAUGUUGAAAAAUUAGCGGAUGACCUGUGGCUGGGGGUGAAAGGCCAAUCAAACCGGGAGAUAGCUGGUUCUCCCCGAAAGCUAUUUAGGUAGCGCCUCGUGAAUUCAUCUCCGGGGGUAGAGCACUGUUUCGGCUAGGGGGCCAUCCCGGCUUACCAACCCGAUGCAAACUGCGAAUACCGGAGAAUGUUAUCACGGGAGACACACGGCGGGUGCUAACGUCCGUCGUGAAGAGGGAAACAACCCAGACCGCCAGCUAAGGUCCCAAAGUCAUGGUUAAGUGGGAAACGAUGUGGGAAGGCCCAGACAGCCAGGAUGUUGGCUUAGAAGCAGCCAUCAUUUAAAGAAAGCGUAAUAGCUCACUGGUCGAGUCGGCCUGCGCGGAAGAUGUAACGGGGCUAAACCAUGCACCGAAGCUGCGGCAGCGACGCUGAUGCGUUGUUGGGUAGGGGAGCGUUCUGUAAGCCUGCGAAGGUGACCUGUGAGGGUUGCUGGAGGUAUCAGAAGUGCGAAUGCUGACAUAAGUAACGAUAAAGCGGGUGAAAAGCCCGCUCGCCGGAAGACCAAGGGUUCCUGUCCAACGUUAAUCGGGGCAGGGUGAGUCGACCCCUAAGGCGAGGCCGAAAGGCGUAGUCGAUGGGAAACGGGUUAAUAUUCCCGUACUUGGUGUUACUGCGAAGGGGGGACGGAGAAGGCUAUGUUGGCCGGGCGACGGUUGUCCCGGUUUAAGCGUGUAGGUGUGUGUUCCAGGUAAAUCCGGUUCACUUUAACACUGAGGCGUGAUGACGAGGCACUACGGUGCUGAAGCAACAAAUGCCCUGCUUCCAGGAAAAGCCUCUAAGCAUCAGGUAACAUCAAAUCGUACCCCAAACCGACACAGGUGGUCAGGUAGAGAAUACCAAGGCGCUUGAGAGAACUCGGGUGAAGGAACUAGGCAAAAUGGUGCCGUAACUUCGGGAGAAGGCACGCUGACACGUAGGUGAAGUGAUUUACUCACGGAGCUGAAGUCAGUCGAAGAUACCAGCUGGCUGCAACUGUUUAUUAAAAACACAGCACUGUGCAAACACGAAAGUGGACGUAUACGGUGUGACGCCUGCCCGGUGCCGGAAGGUUAAUUGAUGGGGUCAGCGCAAGCGAAGCUCCUGAUCGAAGCCCCGGUAAACGGCGGCCGUAACUAUAACGGUCCUAAGGUAGCGAAAUUCCUUGUCGGGUAAGUUCCGACCUGCACGAAUGGCGU
rnacentral:rRNA from 1 species